AUGCCACACAUCCUAUGUGAGGUUGAGAGCCAUUUGAGUGAAUCCACUAACCAUAUGAGUGAGUGCAUCCUUAAGGGAGUGAGUGAGCCACAACACUUAGUGAGUGAGGUAGUUGACACGGCAUGUGAGGCCACUAUGAUUUCUCACGACUUAACCUCUACUCCGAGUGUGUUUUCUUCUUUGGUGCUAGGUAUCCUACAUGACGACAUGCCUAUCCUCCACGAGUCCAUACCUCAAAUGGAGACGACGAUGGCCAUGGUGGAAGAUGACGCACCCCCCACAUGGUUCCAUCAAGAUGAAGAUGACAACGAGUGGAUCUUCGACACCUCACCUACAACACAAGAGCGACGCUCCAAAGGUAACAUAGGUGAUGGUGCUUCUCUUGUCCCACUAGUGGACUCUCUUGACAUUGAUUGCUCCCAUGAUGAUGAUCACCUUAUGGAUUCACCACAUACUAUGUCUUCUACAUGCUUAGAUAUGCCACCUAUUUAUGAUGAAUAUGAUGAUGAGCAUGUUGAUUUGCCUAGUUGUGAUACCAUGCUCCACAGGGUAUCUUAUGAAAAUUCUAGAGGUCACGUCAUGUUUGACAACCAUUAA
rnacentral:rRNA from 1 species